AACGAACGCUGGCGGCAUGCCUAACACAUGCAAGUCGAACGAGAUCUUCGGGUCUAGUGGCGCACGGGUGCGUAACGCGUGGGAAUCUGCCCUUUGGUUCGGAAUAACAGUUGGAAACGACUGCUAAUACCGGAUGAUGACGAAAGUCCAAAGAUUUAUCGCCAGAGGAUGAGCCCGCGUAGGAUUAGCUAGUUGGUGUGGUAAAGGCGCACCAAGGCGACAAUCCUUAGCUGGUCUGAGAGGAUGAUCAGCCACACUGGGACUGAGACACGGCCCAGACUCCUACGGGAGGCAGCAGUGGGGAAUAUUGGACAAUGGGCGAAAGCCUGAUCCAGCAAUGCCGCGUGAGUGAUGAAGGCCUUAGGGUUGUAAAGCUCUUUUACCCGGGAUGAUAGUGACAGUACCGGGAGAAUAAGCUCCGGCUAACUCCGUGCCAGCAGCCGCCGCCG
rnacentral:rRNA from 1 species